UUUGAUUUUUUAAAUCUUUAAAUCCCCAAAUAAAAUGCACCAGGCCUAGUUUUUUUUUCCUUCCCGGCCUGGCUUCUUCCCCCGGAGAUGCGAGUCUGGCCGGUCCUGGAAAUGAAGAAGCCCAUUAAUUAAGGCUCUCCCUCCUGGACCGACCUCUUACCUUAUCUUCCUGCCGAUCCUGCUUCCCGAUUUGUCUCCUUCAAUCCCGGCAAAAUUAUAUUUUCUUCGCGUCACCGAACAUGAGAAAGCUCUUUCUCCUUUUUUUUUCUUCCUCUUUUUUUUUUUUUUUAUUUUAUGUGCCUACAACCGCACCGCUUGACCACUGCCUUUCAAUUCACCUUCAAUCCCUUCGAUCUUUACAUGGCAUGGUCAUUCGGAUCGGACCGUUGUUCCGGACCGGAUCCGUCCCAGGUCAUCAACCCUCUUAUUCAAAAAUUUCCCUGCCCGGGACUAGGUGGCAGCCCUGUCGCCCUUUUCUUCCCUAUGUGGCAGCCCUGCUCCGAUUUUUUACAUCGGCCACAACAGCUACAUUAGCAUUUUACGCUUAUUAGCGUCAAAUGACAAUGGAAAGAUGGACGAUUCAGCUCUACUCCUUGGAUCAGACACAUGCUCGGGAAGCGGCUCUGGACCCUAUCUUCAGCGCCCAACGUGGGAGACGACCCCUCGGAUUCUCGAUGUCACUAGGCACUUGACUUCUCUCUGCCGGCGUCUUCCUGUCCCGCAAGUACCUCCAUAUCUACAAGAUGCCUGAUUUAUGCUUUCUUCUCUCUUCCAGGCACCUCUCCGCUGGUUGUUAUCUCCUCCCUUUCUUCUUAGUGUCACUGCCUCAGAUCCUUUACGUGGAAUACUCCCGCGGUCUUUCCGUCCAGAUUCUCCAGCUCAUACAUAUUUUCGCCGAUCGGCCUUCGGAUUCUGCAUUUCACAAACUUCCUUGCGAAUUUGGCAUUAAAGCUCUUCCCAAAGUCCUGGCCAGGCCGAAACCGAAUCACUCGCGUCUUCCUGUUAUAAGUUCUUGCACUUGCUUCAGGUGCCCCGUGCAUGUUCCUCCUUACCACGUCUCUGAUCAAGGCGAUCCUGUCCGACGGCGGCAAACACAGGCGCCUCCAGCGCCUUUAUCUUUCUAGCCACCUUAUAGUCGGUUCCAUCUCUGAACAUGUGCUGUCCAAACAGGGCAAAGUGCGGGGUUACCCCCGUCGCCGUAUGCACUGACGUUCUCAACGCUGCUUCAAUUUCCGUCGUCCAGGUAUGCCCUAAUGGCGUUCAGUACCGACUGGUUCACCCUCUCUGCAGCAUUCGACUGAGGGGAAUACACUGCUGUCCUGACGUGGCGGAUGUGGAAUUCCUGCAUCAUUUCCUGGAAUCGCUUUGCCAAGAACUGUUUCCCAUUGUCUGAAUGAAUGGUCUCCGGCACUCCAAAGGUGUGAAACACCUCACCCACCAGGAACCUAACCACCUCUGCCGUCGUUGCUUCCUUCAUGGCUUUCAGGAACACAAACUUUGAGAAAUGGUCUACCACAAUAAAGAUAUACGCGUGCCCUUUUCGAGAUCUCGGAUAUUUCCCCAAGAAAUCUAUGUAUAGCUUCUGGAAUGGUCUGUAGGUUACAGUUUCGGCUCCUAGACCUGGCCGCGGGCCGCUAUUCGUAGGCUUCGUCUCCUUGUAAGUCCGACAUUCCCUCACAAAAGCCCGAACCUGAGCCACCAUUCUUGGCCAAUUAAAUCGCCGCCUUAAGCGAUGCAGGGUCUUCGCCAUCCCUCCAUGAGCCUUAUCGGGCGGGGAAUGCGCCUCGUCUAUCAUGGCCGCGCUCAGCGAGGCCGGUACCCACAACUUCCAGGUGUUCUCCUCCAACUCCACCGCGCUUUUACAUUCGGUCCUUUUGAACACGAAGCCAUCCACAAUCUUUACAUCCGGAAACCUAUCCUUUUCCGCCUCGAGCAACUGCUUUAAUUCCAUGUACCCUUGAGAUUCAAAUUCCGUGGUUUGGAAUCCGAGCAUCCAGUCUUCCUCUGGUUCCUCAACGGCUUCCACCAUCCUGGAGAGCGUGUCUGCCACCACGUUCUCUGAUCCUUUGCAGUGCUCGAUUGCCAUCUGAUAUGGUUGCAGUUUGAACGACCACCUCGCUAACCUUCCGGCCAGAUUCUUGACGGACAUGAUCCAUUGUAGGCUCAAUGUACGGACGAAAACGUUUCACCGCCAGCACGGCUGCUAAACAUUCUUUCUCCGUCACGCUGUAGUUGCGCUGCGCUGGGUCCAGUUUCUGCGAAAAGAAGGCUAUGGGCCGUUCGCUUUUGUCCUCCUCUAUUUGAAAAAGUACCGCUUUAACUCCGGUAUCUGAAGCAUCGCACUGUACAUAAAACAUCCUUUUAAAAUCCGGAUGUCUCAGAACCGGUGAUGCACUCAGCGCCUCCUUCAGCGUCUUUACGGACUUCUCCGCCUCCUCCGUCAUAACGAACUUACCUUUUUUCAAGGUAUCCGUGAGCGGCGCCGCCAGUUCUGCAAAGUUCCGUAUGAAUUUUCGAUACCACCCUGCCAUCCCGAGAAACCGUCGAACCUCCUUGGCACUUUUCGGCAUCGUCACCUUUUUUAUGGCCUCCACUUUCUCUGGGUCCGUCCUCACGAUUCCUCCGCCGAUCACAUAUCCUAGGUAACGCAGCUCCUUGAAGCAGAAGUGCGACUUCUUUAGGCCAAUCGUCAGCCCUGCUGCCUUCAGGCUCCUGGAUACCUCUUCCAGCAUUUCCAUGUGCUCCUGAAAAUUUUCUGACACUACUAAUAGGUCGUCCAGGUACACGAAGACGCUUUCCCUGAGCCUCUGCGGUAUGACUUUGUCCAUCAGCCGACACAGCCUUUGGGCUGCGUUUGUCAACCCGAAUGGCAUCACCACGAAAUGGUACAACGGGCGUCCUGGGACCAUAAACGCCGUAUACCUCUUGCUGGCUUCGUCCAGCUCUAUCUGCCAGAACGCAUGCUUAAGGUCCAUACUCGAGAUAUACCUUGUCGUUUCUAUGCGACUCAAGAUCCCCUCGAUAUUCUGCUGCGGAUACGCGUCCUUGACCGUUAUCUUGUUCAGCUUUCGGGCAUCGAGGCAGAGGCGAUUCUUUCCUGGCUUUCGGAUUAACGUGACGGUGUUACUCCAUGCACUGUCACUCUCCUCUAUAACUCCCAGGCGUAGCAUCUCAUCUAUUUCUUGGUAAAUGAGUGUCUGCACCGCUGGCGACACCGGAUAGUGCCGAUCCUUGAUCGGCGUUGCCCCUUCCGUCAGCUCGAUGCUAUGCUUCAUGACCUCUGUCCUUCCUAAACCGUUCUCCUCAAAAUUCAGGAACGAGUUCUUUAUCUUGUUUAGUUGUUUUGUUUCCUCUUCUCCCAGUUCAUGCUGCUCAUGACCAUCCUUCUCUGUCCCUGUUCUGUUCGCUUUCUCUUCAGCCAUUUUCAUCUCGCAUACUCCAAACAACUCCGUCGCGAUUUCAAACUCCUGCCAGAAAUUCACUCCUAGGUAUAAUUCCUGCUCCAACUAUGGACAUAGAUAGAAUAGGAUUUCUCGAGUCCUUUUUUUGUACUCCACUUGCAUCUUCACUUUGCCCAAGAUCUGCUGCUGCGAUCCAUUCGCCGUUCGGACCGUAGCAUGCCAUGGCUUCCAUGGGAUUUCGAGCCGUUCCACCAAUUCUCUGCAGCCUCUUCCAAUUAGACUAAUCGAAGCUCCAGAAUCUAGUAGUCCUCUCAUCAUUCUCCCUGCUACCUUGACCAUUGCGUAUGGUCGUGGGUCUGUUUUGGGUCCUUCACGCGUCAUGGACAUCACCGAGUGGGUUACUUCCUGUCGUUCCUUUUUUCUCGCUUUGAAACGCUCGCGGAUCUUCUUGACUCUUCUUGUAACCAUCGUCAUCCCUGCUAGUUGCUCCUCUCGGAAGAUUCUUUCCCUCGCCUCCUUGUACUGACGCACCCUCUCCUCCAAAAUUCGAUAGACUCUAUUUUCCGCUUUAUCUCCUAUCGCUUCCUGAGUGUCUGAUAAGGGUAUUCGUGCUUCUAUCCUUAGCCUUCCUACUGCCUCUUCUGGACUUCGGGCUCUUUCAUCGAACGCUGGUUGCCCUCCGACGCAACGUUCCUGUUGGCGUUUCCCGACCUGCAAUUUGGGCAUUUGGGCGUUACGGUAUUUGCCAAUCCACAUUUGUAACAGAAAAGCCUUCGCUGAGCCGCUUCACAGUCCAUGUAGACAUGACCCUCCUGCUGACAGUUCCAACAGGUGAUCACUUUUCGGGGUGCGCCGCUAGAGAUCGCCGCCACCGUAUCUCCUAGUUUGUCCGCUGCGUUCAUUUCGGCUGGUCCUCCUGUCCCGUAGGGAUGCACCUCUUCCAGUCUUCCAACUCGUUGCUCCUCCCGGGGCUUGAAUCCGGCGCUCACGCGGUGCCUAUGUCCUGCUCCCCGCUCCAGAUUUAGCACUCGUUCCACUUCCUUGCACUCAUCGUGCAGGUGUUCUAGGGUGUAGACUCGCGUUGGAUAAAUCCACUGCCUCAUCGGUUCUAGGAGAUUUCUUUUUGCCGUCUUGAUAACCCAAUCGUUUUCCACUCCUGAUUUCACCGAAGCUACCAGUCUACUUAGAGCCAUAAAAUACUCUUCUAGUGACUCCCCUUGCCGUUGCUUCCUCUCCGCGAUGUCCUGGCUGCGAUCGUAGUCGCCUCUAUUAUCGCAAUAUCUGCGUUGCAGGGCUUCUUUUAACUCUCUCCAGUCUUGCGGCGGCUUGGUCCUUAUUAGUAGCCAGUACCAUUCGGAUGCCUCUUCCGUCAACAACCGGUGGAAGUCUCGAAGCAGCUCAAUCCACGGCAUCCCAUAUUGUUUCUGAAGGUGUUCUACCCGGAACAGAAAAUCUUCCGCCCUCAUCGUUCCUGGACGACCUGAAAAUUGGAAACCCCAUUUAUCUAUCGGAACAUACUGCCGGCUCCUCUGUUGUGCUCCCUGUUCCUGCGGUACCAUAUAUCCAACCAUCCAGCCCUAUUGGUGCUUCUGGGCCCGUCCAUUUGCGAUCCUUGGAAACUUCUAUUCCUGCUCGAGCUCCGGUGCCUCCAAUUGUUCGGCGGUGGUGAAAACUCCCAAUUUCCGCUUCGCUCCGCUCUUUGGCUGCUUUCCGCUAGUACCCGGUUCAGCAAGGCGUUUGUUCCGACCGUUCCUAAUGCGUCUCCUUGGCUUCUGUUGUUUCCUGUCCCUGAACUUGGUGGGGCAAGGAAAACCGUAGUUUUCUCUGCCUUUUGUUUGUCUCCCUGUUGCUUUCCUGAAUUAGGAGAACCGCCAGCUGAACCAUAAGGCCGUGGAUUCUCCACCUGGGUGGCCUUGGAGGAUUCUGAUGACCUCGAGGAAGGAACUUUUCCGGAGUCCCGAUCCAGCUUCCGGAGUAUUUGUUCAAAUCCCGUCUUCAUGCACAGGUCGAUCCUUCGAUCCACCAGUUGGCUGAGAUAUACCCUUAGCUGCUCUUGGGAGGUGUGGAUGAGGGCCUGCAUCUCUCGUCGAUUGAAGGAUGCAUAGGCUCUGCGUUUUCCAGGCUAUACUGCUCCUGAAUGGGAUCUAAUUGGACAUGAGAGUAUGUCCCGAAUGGAGUUGAUGCUUGUUCCAUGCUGAGGUUCCUCGGGAUUGCCUUUGUUGUGCGCUGAGUCGAGUGGUCUCUCUGCUUUGCUCGUUACCGCCCUGUGCUCCCCCUCCAUGUCCAAAUCUCUUUCCCCUUCUUCGAGCAUCGAUAGGCUUGGUCCACCCAUAGAGUCCUAUUUUUAUUUUACUCAAGUUCCAAUACGAAUAAUCCAAUCUAUUUAUAUGCAAGCUCUGACUGACUAUAAUAAUUAAUUUCAAUACUGGCCGGUACCACCAGAAUGAGUCCCCGAUAACCAAAAUAAAUAAAUAAAUAGAUAAAUAAAUAGACAAAUAAAUAAAUAAACAAAAUGAAUAAAUAAACAAAUGAAUAAAUAAUUAUACUAAUAAAUGCCGAAAUAAAUAAAUAAAUAAUUACACAAACGCUCCGUCCUCAACUUUUGGACUAAUAGACUUCUAUAAAAAGUUCUCUCAGUAACACAACUAUAUCUGGUUUCCUAUCUGGGGGCUAUAAGGAAGGAUGUUUGGGGUUCCGGAUUGAGGCUUUCCGUCUGAACCGUGUUUUCCUGGAUCUCCGGGGUUUUUCUUCUGGUCCUUCUUGGAACAACGCAAAGGCUAUUUAUGUUUAGCCGUUUGGGACUUCCGUUUUUGGUUCAGAACCCCUAUAAAUAUAAAAAAAAAAAUCCUUUUUUAUCCUAUUCUUCUAUCAACGCAUAUGUAUCCUUUGUAGUUUAAGACACAGCUGUUGUAUUUUCUCCUUCUAUUAACCUUAUCCUUUUCCUACUCUUAUCUAUUUCUACUUUAAGUCCUAUCUAUUUAUCACAGUACAUAUCACAGUUCAUUCCUUUCUGCGCAAAUCGGCCUUUGGUCUAUUCAGGCCCGAUGUCGCAUAUGGAAUUCCAAUUCAACUUUGAUUUGUACUGCCAUAAAUUGACUCUAUUUCCUUGCUUCUUUCGCAGUCCGGAAACCUACUAAUUGGGGACCUCUCGAGCGGUCGCCAUCUUGUUAUGACCAACUUCUGGUCCUGCGGUCCGCCAAUCGACAUGAGUCUGUCUCCGGCUAGCUCAACCAGGGCCGUGGUUUCCCUGACCCUUCCCAUACAGACCGCUAACAA